UACGUAGGUGACCAGCGUUGUCCGGAUUUACUGGGCGUAAAGAGCGCGCAGGCGGUCAUUCAAGUCGAGUGUGAAAGCCCCCGGCUCAACUGGGGAGGGUCACUCGAUACUGAUCGACUUGAAGGCAGGAGAGGGAAGCGGAAUUCCCGGUGUAGUGGUGAAAUGCGUAGAUAUCGGGAGGAACACCAGUGGCGAAGGCGGCUACCUGGCCUGUUCUUGACGCUGAGGCGCGAAAGCUAGGGGAGCAAACGGG
rnacentral:rRNA from 1 species